CCUAGCUGCUGCUGCUGCCUGACCCUCUCCUCUCCAUCUUCCUUCUCUUCUACUUCUUCUUUUUUUCUCUUCUCCCUCUUCUUCCUCUCUUCUUUUCCCUCUUCUUCUUCUUUCUUCUCUCCUCACGCCCCACCGCUCAGAAACAGAGAGUGCGUGGGAGGCGGUGGGAUAAAACCGAAAUUUUCGGUUUUCUUUAUUUUCUUUUCAUUUUGCAACUUAGCAAUUUAGUCCUUGAAAUUUUCAUAUUUACAUAUAGGUCCUCCGAUUUAUAAAUAAAUCUUUAUUAAUAAGUUUCAAAAGUGAGGGAUAUUACA
rnacentral:lncRNA from 1 species